GGGAAAGUUGAAAAGAACUUUGAAGAGAGAGUUCAAUAGUACGUGAAACCUCUCGGGGGUAAGCGGGCAGAACUUGCAAGUAUUGGCUGGGAAUAUUCAGGCUUAAUGUUGGCGACUGAGAGUGUAUUAUAAAGUUGUCCUUUUGGGGAUUGGCUGAUGUGUGCUCUUUGAUUUGUUGACGAUGCGCCGCAUUUAUUUCCGUCAUCGGGUUGCAUGUGACUGAGCCUGUAGUUUAGGUGCUGAGAUCCUGCGAAGCCUUGUUGUUUCGAGUCUUUGGUUUCCGACUACGGCUGCGGUCAUUAUAUCUUUUACUGGACAGGCGUUUAGGCGCGGUCAAUGGUUUGUACGAGUUGUGUGCAUGUUGUAUGUGGACGGGUAACCGUAGCAUACGAUAUGAGGCUGAUUGUCGGUAUGAGCUAAUUUGGCACUGUCCUU
rnacentral:rRNA from 1 species